UGAGAUUAUGCUACAUGGUCCCCAGCGUA
rnacentral:piRNA from 1 species